rnacentral:lncRNA from 1 species
UUGAAGGCAACGGUGAGAUCCCUGGAAGGCUCCUGUGAAUCUCUGAAUGGAAGAAUGGCAGAACUCACCGCAGAGAACGGCAGUCUGGUUCAUCAGCUGGAGGCCAGUACCCAGAAUAUCGAAAAGCUUUCGGAGAAAAAUGCCUUGUUAGAGAGCUCGUUGUCUGAUGCUAAUGGAGUGAUCGAGGGACUGAGGGAGAGGAUGCUGGGCAUGGACAUGGAGGUGAAGGAGCUCCGUGAGGCCCAUGAAGGUGAAAGGGCUGCGCUCCUCAGUCACAUAGAGAAGGCGGCAGAGAAGAGCGUGUUCUUGGAAAAAUCCCUGUCUGAGACAAGCGUUGACUUUGAGGGAGUAAGAGCCAAGGCGAGGUCCUUGGAAGAAUCCUGUGAAUCCCUGAACAGGAGAAUCGCUGAACUUGCCGGAGAGAAUGACAGCCUGAGUCACCAGUUGCAGGCCAGUGCCCGGAGUAUGGAAGAGGUUUCAAAGAACAAUACCUUAUUGGAGACCUCCUUGUCCAGCGCUAAUGGAGAGAUUGAGGGACUGAGGGAGA